rnacentral:rRNA from 1 species
AGUAAUGUCUGGGAAACGUGCCUGAUGGAGGGGGAGUAACUACUGGAAACGGUAGCUAAUACCGCAUAACGUCGCAAGACCAAAGAGGGGGACCUUCGGGCCUCUUGCCAUCGGAUGUGCCCAGAUGGGAUUAGCUAGUAGGUGGGGUAACGGCUCACCUAGGCGACGAUCCCUAGCUGGUCUGAGAGGAUGACCAGCCACACUGGAACUGAGACACGGUCCAGACUCCUACGGGAGGCAGCAUG